rnacentral:tRNA from 1 species
GAGGUUGUGGCUCAGUGGUAGAGUGCUCGCCAACACAUGUGAGGCCCUGGGUUUGAUCCUCAGCACCACA